rnacentral:lncRNA from 1 species
GUUCAGUCAUAUAUUUGCAGUCUUAGGCGAAACAAGGAAGAUGAGAUUUUACAUUGUGGUUUUGUUGCUGACUAUUGCGCUUGCGGUGGACUCUGCACCACGAGGAAGAGGUAAAAAUGGCCUUGAUAUGUUUGAUGAGAGCUUGGUAAGCGAAGUAAAUGGCGAUAUGUUCAUGAAAAGGGAUGUACGGUCGCCGCCGGAAUACAACAUUAGGACAAAAGUGAUUCGAGUUAUCAACUAGAAGAUUAUUAACAGGAGAUGGCCAUUGUUUAUGACGGCAGCUAAAUAAAGUAUAGCAAGAACACGUGA